CCAUACUAUAUACAGGGUCAGUUAAUACCAUACUAUAUACAGGGUCAGUUAAUACCAUACUAUAUACAGGGUCAGUUAAUACCAUACUAUAUACAGGGUCAGUUAAUACCAUACUAUAUACAGGGUCAGUUAAUACCAUACUAUAUACAGGGUCAGUUAAUACCAUACUAUAUACAGGGUCAGUUAAUACCAUACUAUAUACAGGGUCAGUUAAUACCAUACUAUAUACAGGGUCAGUUAAUACCAUACUAUAUACAGGGUCAGUUAAUACCAUACUAUAUACAGGGUCAGUUAAUACCAUACUAUAUACAGGGUCAGUUAAUACCAUACUAUAUACAGGGUCAGUUAAUACCAUACUAUAUACAGGGUCAGUUAAUACCACACUAUAUACAGGGUCAGUUAAUACCAUACUAUAUACAGGGUCAGUUAGUACCAUACUAUAUACAGGGUCAGUUAAUACCAUACUAUAUACAGGGUCAGUUAAUACCAUACUAUAUACAGGGUCAGUUAGUACCAUACUAUAUACAGGGUCAGUUAAUACCAUACUAUAUACAGGGUCAGUACCAUGUGUGUGUGUGUGUGUGUGUGUGCGUGUGUGCGCGUGUGUGCGUGUGUGUGUGUGUGUGUGUGUGUGUGUGUGUGUGUGUGUGUGUGUGUGUGUGUGUGUGUGUGUGUGUGUGUGUGUGUGUGUGUGUGUGUGUGUGAGUGGGUGUGUGUGAGUAUGUGUGUGUGUAUAUGUGUGUGUGUGUGUGUGUGUGUGUGUGUGUGUGUGUGUGUGUGUGUGUGUGUGUGUGUGUGUGUGUGUGUGUGUGUGUGUGUGUGUGUGUGUGUGUGUGUGUGUGUGUGUGUGUGCGCGCGCAUAAUAUGUGUGAGUCAGCAGAUUCUAUAAAUCAUUGUUUUCUAAUCUAUUUUUCGGAUGCAUCAUUUCUGUUCCACGUACAGGUAAAUAUGUUUUUUUAAUGUACAGCUGCGGCGCUUAUAGGGAGUCACCGUUCGCACGUCGUGUUUGUUUACCUCGUUGCUAUGGUCACCAGUGGCCAUGGAGACACCGGCUGCCUGACUGGAUGGGACGGAGACGUUGCACUCAGUGGGGAACUCUGCCGUAUCCCGGUGGGGGUGUCUGCACACAGGGCUUUAUAGUUACCGUUAAUGGUUAGACUUUUGCCUCUUCGUUCUUUAUUGACUGUGCUCGUUGUCUCUGAGGAGUUCUUCAGACUAUAGAGUUUAAAUUAUAUGUUGGCAACAGGGUUAGAGCUCGUUUCGCUUCAAGUAAAACAAGAGAAGUUGAGUGAUUUGUGGCAACGUAUUGUAGCCUGUCUGCGUGUGUGUGUGUGCUCGCGCGUGUCUGUGUGUGUGUGUGUGCGUGCUUGUGUGUGUGUGCGCGCGUGUGUGUGCGUGUGCCACGGGUUACGCCAGGAUACGUGUUGGUCUGAGGUUAGUGGAUGUUGUGUUGUGUUAGGUUUCUGUGACAGCGGCCCAGAUGGGAACAGCAGAUCGCGGAACAGAGCACUGUCUGGUGUGUGUGUGUGUGUGUGUGUGUGUGUGUGUGUGUGUGUGUGUGUGUGUGUGUGUGGUAUUUCCUGCUGUUGUUGAAACACACGCCAUCCUUUUGUGUCCCAAAUGGCUCACUUUUUCCAUUAUAGUGCACUACUUUUGACCAGUACCCUGUGGUGAGAAGCCAAAAAGUAGUGCACUAUAUAACGAAUAGGGUGCAAUUUGGGACGUAUUCUCUUCUUUGAAAAGAGCUUCUAUUCUUCCUCAUUACAUCACUCUCUCCGGUAGUCUAUACAACUACCUCCUCCACUUUACCUCAGGUAGUCUAUACAACUACCUCCUCCACUUUACCUCAGGUAGUCUAUACAACUACCUCCUCCACUUUACCUCAGGUAGUCUAUACAACUACCUCCUCCACUUUACCUCAGGUAGUCUAUACAACUACCUCCUCCACUUUACCUCAGGUAGUCUAUACAACUACCUCCUCCACUUUACCUCAGGGAGUCUAUACAACUACCUCCUCCACUUUACCUCAGGUAGUCUAUACAACUACCUCAUCCACUUUACCUCAGGUAGUCUAUACAACCACCUCCUCCACUUUACCUCAGUUAGUCUUAGUAAAUACAACUACCUCCUCCACUUUACCUCAGGUAGUCUAUACAACUACCUCAUCCAC